GACAGAGGGGGCAAGCGUUGCUCGGAAUUACUGGGCGUAAAGGGCGCGUAGGCGGGAUGGCAAGUCGGUCGUGAAAUCCCACGGCUCAACCGUGGAAGUGCACUCGAAACUGCGCAGCUAGAGUCUCGGAGAGGAAGGCGGAAUGCUUGGUGUAGAGGUGAAAUUCGUAGAUAUCAAGCGGAACACCGGUGGCGAAGGCGGCCUUCUGGACGAUGACUGACGCUGAAGCGCGAAAGCGUGGGGAGCAAACAGG
rnacentral:rRNA from 1 species